AUUGAACGCUGGCGGCAGGCCUAACACAUGCAAGUCGGACGGUAGCACAGAGAGCUUGCUCUCGGGUGACGAGUGGCGGACGGGUGAGUAAUGUCUGGGGAUCUGCCCGAUAGAGGGGAUAACCACUGUAAACGGUGGCUAAUACCGCAUAACGUCGCAAGACCAAAGAGGGGGACCUUCGGGCCUCUCACUAUCGGAUGAACCCAGAUGGGAUUAGCUAGUAGGCGGGGUAAUGGCCCACCUAGGCGACGAUCCCUAGCUGGUCUGAGAGGAUGACCAGCCACACUGGAACUGAGACACGGUCCAGACUCCUACGGGAGGCAGCAGUGGGGAAUAUUGCACAAUGGGCGCAAGCCUGAUGCAGCCAUGCCGCGUGUAUGAAGAAGGCCUUCGGGUUGUAAAGUACUUUCAGCGGGGAGGAAGGCGGUGCGGUUAAUAACCGCGCCGAUUGACGUUACCCGCAGAAUAAGCACCGGCUAACUCUGUGCCAGCCGCCGCCGUAA
rnacentral:rRNA from 1 species